AAAUCACAGUCGUCUCUUAUAUGGUCAGCACAAUUAUCUCUAACCCGUUCCACCACCAACAAGAGUUCCACCACCACCAACAGCUUCUCCACUUCCACCUCCUCCACUCCUCACCCAACCACCACCACCACUGCAACCGCUCCCUCUCUUCUCUUCUCCCAUCAGAUCCUCACUUUCCCUUCUCCCUCUCUUCACUAGCCGACUCUGAUCGUCCCGCCCUCUCAUUCCGCUCUUCAAUCGACGCUUCGUUUUUAGCUCUCUCAAACCCCGUUUCUGACCCACUCUUCCAAUGGCUUUACGAAAUGUUUUGUUGAUAGGAUACCCAUCCUCGUUUCAUUUUCUUUCUUUUAUCCUCUGUUUUUGGGUUUGUUUCCGCCGAGAAUUCACUCCUCGGAUUCUGCCUCAAGUCCUUCACUUGUUAGGUUUGAAGCUGUUCUUCUUGCUUUUUACUUAUCUGAAGCUAAAUCCCGCAGCAGUCAGGCGGUUCUUGUGCAAAUUCCUGAUCUUUCUCAACCUUUUCUUCAUCAUACUCCUCGUACUAAGGUUAAUUCAACUUGUUGUCAAGUAUUAGUCUGUCUGUAGGAGUUUUGUCUCCUCUUAAGCCUCAAAUUACUGAUAAGUCGACUAAACGCCCCAUCAUUGUUGGUGUUAUUCUUGAUUGUUAUUUUUUUGGGAGCUCGAAGAACUCUGUACCCAUUUGCCAAAUUCCUCAGUGUGCUCUCGUGGGUGCAUGGGAAAUGUCCAUGUAUAUCGGUCAGUUAGAGUUCUAUAACGGGGAAGCACCGGACCGUAUGAAUAGCUUAUGAGGAAGUUCAUAUUGUGAUGGUAAACAAUACUUCUAUGUCUCUGAGUAAAAUACUAUGGCUGUUUUAACCGGAAUGUAGUAGCGAGUGAGGGAACUGACAUAUUUCUUGUGUCAGGUUUGGAAGGCAUAGUUGGUAUUAACUGAUUUUUUGUUGCAUAAGAUGUUUACUUCAUCUAAAUUUGAUGGGAUUAGUUCGUUAGAAGUCGGUACUGGAACUAUUAUGUAUCUUUAGACUACAUGAUUAAUUUAUAGCAGAAGUUCUCAGUCACCGAUUACAUGCUUCGCGAACUCACAGUACUCGGAGAAUUCAAGCCGUACGGCUUAAUAGCUGAAGCUCUCGACAGCAAGCCUGAAUAUAACAAUGUCGCCGCUGAUAAGUACGACUACUUCCUUUUUGACCCCGAAAUCGUCCGAGACCAAUGCGAACUCAACGAUUCUGAUAUUUCUGAGUCUCCUUUUGGUGAUCAGUGUGAUCACGAGCUCUUCAUUCGAGGAAACACGAUAAUAUGGUCGAUAGGCUCGCGAGUUUUCAAGAGAUUCACGUCUCCCACUCCGGUUAAAAUGGCGUGCUGGUGUCGCCUGGGCGAUACGUCUGAGGCUUUGCUAUGCGUCUUGCAAAUUGAUUCUCUAACGGUAUGCAGCAUAUCAGGUGAAUUAGUAUCCAUUCCCCUUCCCUGUACUAUUACUUCGAUGUGGCCUCUUCCAUUUGGUUUGUUACUUCAGUCAGUAGCUGAAGGAGGUACAUCAACCCAACCUACAUUUUUAUCAACAAGUCCUUUAUCAGAUACGCGUGAUAUUUUCCGCUCUCGGAAAGAUAUUAGUCAGAGUCCAUAACAUAAUGUCGCUUUUAUGGGUACAAUUGAUAAUUUUAAUCAAAGCAGAAACAGCUACAUCUCGCAUCUGAUUCUGAAGGAUUUGCUGGAAGAGCCGCAUGUAUUUAUAUGUUCUGCAUAUCUGGCUUUUAGUAAAUUUUAGAGUCAGAAACAAUCCAUGUUACUAAAACAUUGUCAGUCUAUUUAUAUUGAAGAAAGAGGAAAAUUGAGCAUAAUGAAGGAUUUUGAUGAAAGAACAAUUUGAACAAGUGAUCAAGCUUCUCUAAUGGCUUCAUAUAACAAAGGGCUCUGAUAUUCUGCAUUUUCUAUUUUGGGUUCAUAGUUGGUGCGUAUUUGCUUGGUUUUGGACAGUGCAUUGGUGGUUAAAGCUUGGACCUGGUUGCUGCAAAUCUGAUUUGUCUCUUCAUUAUUGGUUCAUGAAGUGUUUGUUGCUUUCAAAGAAGUCUUCUCAGAUUUUGCUCCUUACAUGUGUUUUUGGCUCUACAGUUCUUAUUGGUUCGUGACGUAUUCUAGCUCGUCGAACAAAAGUUGAAAUCGAUAUUUCUGAGAGUUAAAUUAAACAAGUAAACCUUAUCAUUGUAAAUUUUGAAAAGGUAGGUAGUUGAAGCCUUCUACUUGCUUGCAACUACAUUUCUGUUGGGAAUGUUUCAUACAGCAAGACAUAUAUAAAUCAUUUUUUUAUUAUUAAAUAAUUAGUGAAUCUUGGAGCAA